rnacentral:rRNA from 1 species
AAAUUGAAGAGUUUGAUCAUGGCUCAGAUUGAACGCUGGCGGCAGGCCUAACACAUGCAAGUCGAACGGUAACAGAAAGCAGCUUGCUGCUUUGCUGACGAGUGGCGGACGGGUGAGUAAUGUCUGGGAAACUGCCUGAUGGAGGGGGAUAACUACUGGAAACGGUAGCUAAUACCGCAUAACGUCGCAAGACCAAAGAGGGGGACCUUCGGGCCUCUUGCCAUCGGAUGUGCCCAGAUGGGAUUAGCUUGUUGGUGGGGUAACGGCUCACCUAGGCGACGAUCCCUAGCUGGUCUGAGAGGAUGACCAGCCCACACUGGAACUGAGACACGGUCCAGACUCCUACGGGAGGCAGCAGUGGGGAAUAUUGCACAAUGGGCGCAAGCCUGAUGCAGCCAUGCCGCGUGUAUGAAGAAGGCCUUCGGGUUGUAAAGUACUUUCAGCGGGGAGGAAGGGAGUAAAGUUAAUACCUUUGCUCAUUGACGUUACCCGCAGAAGAAGCACCGGCUAACUCCGUGCCAGCAGCCGCGGUAAUACGGAGGGUGCAAGCGUUAAUCGGAAUUACUGGGCGUAAAGCGCACGCAGGCGGUUUGUUAAGUCAGAUGUGAAAUCCCCGGGCUCAACCUGGGAACUGCAUCUGAUACUGGCAAGCUUGAGUCUCGUAGAGGGGGGUAGAAUUCCAGGUGUAGCGGUGAAAUGCGUAGAGAUCUGGAGGAAUACCGGUGGCGAAGGCGGCCCCCUGGACGAAGACUGACGCUCAGGUGCGAAAGCGUGGGGAGCAAACAGGAUUAGAUACCCUGGUAGUCCACGCCGUAAACGAUGUCGACUUGGAGGUUGUGCCCUUGAGGCGUGGCUUCCGGAGCUAACGCGUUAAGUCGACCGCCUGGGGAGUACGGCCGCAAGGUUAAAACUCAAAUGAAUUGACGGGGGCCCGCACAAGCGGUGGAGCAUGUGGUUUAAUUCGAUGCAACGCGAAGAACCUUACCUGGUCUUGACAUCCACGGAAGUUUUCAGAGAUGAGAAUGUGCCUUCGGGAACCGUGAGACAGGUGCUGCAUGGCUGUCGUCAGCUCGUGUUGUGAAAUGUUGGGUUAAGUCCCGCAACGAGCGCAACCCUUAUCCUUUGUUGCCAGCGGUCCGGCCGGGAACUCAAAGGAGACUGCCAGUGAUAAACUGGAGGAAGGUGGGGAUGACGUCAAGUCAUCAUGGCCCUUACGACCAGGGCUACACACGUGCUACAAUGGCGCAUACAAAGAGAAGCGACCUCGCGAGAGCAAGCGGACCUCAUAAAGUGCGUCGUAGUCCGGAUUGGAGUCUGCAACUCGACUCCAUGAAGUCGGAAUCGCUAGUAAUCGUGGAUCAGAAUGCCACGGUGAAUACGUUCCCGGGCCUUGUACACACCGCCCGUCACACCAUGGGAGUGGGUUGCAAAAGAAGUAGGUAGCUUAACCUUCGGGAGGGCGCUUACCACUUUGUGAUUCAUGACUGGGGUGAAGUCGUAACAAGGUAACCGUAGGGGAACCUGCGGUUGGAUCACCUCCUUA